GAGUGAACACAGAUCAUUUAGAAUUUUUCUAACAGGAUUUCUAACCUUGGUUGGAAAAACCUAA